AGAAGCAUUAAUUUUGAUAUAUUAAAAACAACACAACAAAAGAAACAUCUCCAUUGUGAUUUCCUACUCAUCCCUAAAACCCACUCGAUCGUAUGCUCCAUCAAUAAACUACCGCCGUCAAGAUUUCCGGCAUCUUCCCGCGAAAUCCGGCAAGAAACUACCGCCGUCAUUCGUAACUCAUUUUUUGGCGAUUUGCAGCAAGAAAAUGAACCGAACGUAACAACAAUUUAGUUUGUCGCGUGAGUUCAGCUGGGAAGAGGUCUGAAGGUUGUUUGUGAUGCGAGAAAGAAUGACGUUUUGGUACAAAAUAAAAUGACAGUCGAAGGUUUAGAAGGAUCAGCUAACCAACUAUCAUGUGUGAUGAAGUUUGGUGGAUCUUCGGUUGCAUCGGCAGAUAGAAUGAAAGAAGUAGCUGAGCUUAUCCUCAGCUUUCCAGAAGAGAAUCCUUUGAUAGUUUUGUCUGCUAUGGGCAAAACUACGAACAAGCAUAUAGUGGCUGGAGAAAAGGCUGCAAGCUGUAUUUCGGAUGUGUCUGAAAUCGAUGAGUUGAGUUUUGUGAAAGAACUGCACUACAGGACAGUGGAUGAGCUUGUUUUAGACAGAUCAAUCAUUAUAGGCAAGUCUUUUGAUGUGGAAAGUUCAAGGUUAAAUUCAAAAGUACAAAUCUUGCAACUGAUCUGAUGAUUGAUGAUGGCAGGUUUGUUUGUCAACAACUAACCGAAACUUUCCGGGUCGAAUGGGACACAAAGAAGGUCAAAUAUAUCUGGCUUCUCCUUAUACGGCUGUAGCUUCGGCUUUGACCGGUUUUGUUACUGAUCCAAGAGACUUUCUGCAUUGAGCUUUCAGUGAUGCAACCUUGUGAGUUUAAAAAAAUGAUAUUUAGGUGCUAAAAUAAGGUCGCUAGUCAAAACCAAAAUGAUUACGUGUCAGCUGAGCUAUGUUUUGUAUUAGAACAUUAUUGUUACUGUCAGUGGCAAACCCAGGAAAUUAUUUUUGUGGGGCGGAACUUUUAGGUUCGUUUGUCUAUCAUUAGAUAUUUAAAAAAAAAAUCGGUUCGUUUCGGGUCGGGUUAGGUCGAGCAGGUCACAGACUAAAAAGAUAAAACCAAAUUAAAUUUUAAAUAAAUAAUAAAGUUUCCUCAAUCUUCAUUAGAAAUCAGCAACGUCCCAUUUUGGCUUCAUGUAAGGAUCAAAAUUCAAUCUUUUUAUUAUUUGGAUAAUCUUUUUGAAAAAAUGAUCAUAUUAACCAACUGAAAGUUGACCUUUUUAUUAACAGGAGAAAGAGUUCUUUGCUGAAAGUUCCCAAAAACACCAUUUCCCAAUGGUUGCUGAAACUUGACACAUAUAUACUAAAGGGAAACAAAAUUAUUAGGAUUUGGCAAUCAGGCUUGGCACCAGUCAGUGAUACUGUAAGUUAAAAAAAAUCUGACCCGACCCGACCCGAAACCCGUCCUGACCCAAACCCGUUUCGACCCGAAUCAAAACAACCCUUUUUUAUGUAAUAGUCAAUUUAAUGAUUGUCUUUGUUUUGAACGUCUACAAAUCUUUACUUCAAGGUGUAAGAGUCUAUAAGGUCAUGAUAGAAGAGUUGCUUGGCAAAGGAAUGAAAUCUGCAACAAAUGUGUGCAUGAUUGGGAUUUUUUGCUGAUUUGGGGUUGACUUCGCACAUCAUUGGGAGUGGUUUCAGUUUGAUCCCGAUCAUGACAUUAUUGCGGUAUGUUGGUUAAUCGGUUAUUUGCUGGUAUAUUAUCUGGAAAAUAGUUGGGUGACAUGGGUCGAUGGUUUUGGUGGGUUAUAACUUAUAUGGCAAGAUUCAAGAAUGGGUUUGGGAGUAUGGGGAUGAUGGCUGGAGUGUGAAGAUGGAUGUUGCUGAUAGCCUGAUACUACUCGGAAGCUAGCUAGAUGAAGCUGGAUUUCUGAAGAUAGUAGAUUGGUUUUUGUGUAGUGUAGAUCUGUAGAUUUUGCUUUUGUUUUGUUUUAUACUUUUAUUUAUGGUUUAAGGCUUAGAGUUCAUGUUUUACACAAAUGGAACGUAAAUGUUAUUGAGUUUUGAACACAGUAAUUAUUUUGACCGCUUGCGCGCGCGAUGUUUAAAUCCUA